UAUCAUUUAGUUUUUGUCUCAAUUUUUCAUUCUCUUCGUCUCUUUCCUCUUUUCCUUCUUUUUCUUCCCUUUCGUUUGUACACAAUUUUGUUCUAUUAUAAUUCUUCAUACUAACAGAAGUAUGUCCAAAUUCGUUGUAAUUGAACUUUUUAUCGUUAUCCUCUUCUUUAUUCAUAUAUACGUUUCCCUCUUCAUGACAAGAAUCGUGUCCUCUUUCAUCUCCACGCAUUAUAUAAUAUUCUCCAUUAUUAUCAUAACCUAUUAUAUUCUUCUGGUUCUCAUUAUCAUCUCUAUUGACUUUAUUAUUAAUAUGUCCAUAUUCAGUAUAUUCAUAAUUAUUACUAUAAUUACUGUUGUAGUUACUGUCAUUUACAUAAUUUUGGUUUUGUUCACCUGUUUCAUAUAUGCCCUGUUCAUAUAUGCCCUGUUCAUAUGUACCCUGUUCAUAUGUACCCUGUUCAUAUGUACCCUGUUCAUAUGUACCCUGUUCAUAUGUACCCUGUUCAUAUGUGCCCUGUUCAUAUGUGCCCUGUUCAUAUGUGCCCUGUUCAUAGUCACCUUCUCCAUGCAUAUCCUCUCCAUGCAUAUUCUCUCCAUGCAUAUCCUCUCCAUGCAAAUCCUUUCCAUGCAUAUCCUCUCCAUGCAUAUCCUCUCCAUGCAUAUCCUCUCCAUGCAUAUCCUCUCCAUGCAUAUCCUCUCCAUGCAUAUCCUCUCCAUGCAUAUCCUCUCCAUGUAUAUCCUCUCCAUGCAUAUCCUCUCCAUGCAUAUCCUCUACAUGCGUACCAUCCUCAUGAACACCCUCAAAGUACCCAUUAUCAUCGUAAUAGUCACCACCAUCAACAUACUUAUUACUCUUACGUGUGUCUUCAUCAACAUUCUCCGUUGGGACUUCAUCAUAUUCAUUUAUACCAUCAUAUUCAUUUAUACCAUCAUUAUCCAUUUUAUACUUAUUAUCCAUACUAUAUUCUUCAUUUUCGACAUUUUUAUGAAACUGUACCUCUACAUCCUUACUAUCAUUUCCUGACUCUAACUGUUCGUCUUUUUGAUCUAUAUCAUUUUCAAAAGCGCCAUUCAUCAUCAUUCUUUCACCACUAUCGUUUCUAUCAGCCUUAUUAUUAUUGUGCUGUAACUUAAAACCUGCAUGUACACUAGACCUGGCUCCAAAUAAACGUUUUCCUCUCUCUAUUAGACUAUUUUUA
rnacentral:lncRNA from 1 species